CAACAGGGAUUGCCCCAGUAAUGGCGAAUGAAGCGGCAAGAGCCCAAAUUUGAAAUCGGGCAACCGAGUUGUAAUUUGGAGACGGGACACUAGAGAGGAGGAAGGCGAUUAAGUGCCUUGGAACAGGCUGCCGUAGAGGGUGAGAGCCCCGUGAAUCGCUGGAGACCGAUCAAUUAGUGCCCGCCGAAGAGUCGAGUUGUUUGGGAAUGCAGCUCUAAGUGGGUGGUAUAUUCCAUCUAAGGCUAAAUAUUAGCGAGAGACCGAUAGCAAACAAGUACAGUGAUGGAAAGAUGAAAAGAACUUUGGAAAGAGAGUGAAAUAGUACGUGAAAUUGUUGAAAGGGAAGGGUAUUUGAUCCGACAUGGUGUUUAGCAGCGGCCCGUUCCUCGUGGAUGGGUGCACCUGGUUUACACUGGGCCAGCAUCGGUUCUGGGAGCCAUAUACGGGGUUCGUGAAUGUGGCCCUUCGAUUCUGUCGGAGGGUGUUAUAGCGCGGGCAUCUUGUGGCUAGCCGGGACCGGGGACUGC
rnacentral:rRNA from 1 species